UUAAAUUACUCCAUCACCAACAUCUUACACCACAAUUGAUUCAAACAGUCAUCAUCACCAUAACACAAAAGCAGAAAACUCAACCUGCAUAAAUGGCUCCGCCCCAUAAUCUGCAUCACUCCCAAUCUAUCCUUCCAUAAUCAAUAUACACAAACCUUACUCCCAUUUACUAAUCACAAACUUCAUAUACAGAGUACAAAUAAAAAAACCUCACAACAAUAAAAUCCUUGCAGAAAAAGAGAAUUACAAACUGAAAAAUGAGAAAGAAGAAGAGCAAGAAAACUUCGAAGUUGAAAAGGAGAAUCGAAACCACCACACCGAGGUCAUCGUGCACAACGCCGAUCAUCAGCUCUUCCAUUCAAAUCUUCGGCCACCACUUCCAUCCUCGUCAAAGUCGCGAAACGCACCGACUACUCCUCUCUCCGGAAACGCACAAACCACUGUACCCUACCACCAGAAAGAAUGUGACGCCUCCGCCGACCAUCACACACACAUCAAGUCACAUAAGCAGGAGUAUGUUUCCUCUCAUCACGUCACUGCAUAGUCGACAUCGUCGAUCUACUCCAAUAUGGUAUGAAGCAAUCCUUUCACUUUGAUUUUCCUGAAUCACAAGUUUUUAUUGUUGAUCUCCUUUUUAUGUUGUUGUUGAUCGAGAGAGAGGUUAGGUGGAAUAGAAAGGAAUCACAAUGAAGUUUGUGUUGUUGAAAUAUGGGGAAAUGAUAUGGUUACUUGAAAUCAAG
rnacentral:lncRNA from 1 species